rnacentral:rRNA from 1 species
AGUGAACGCUGGCGGUAGGCCUAACACAUGCAAGUCGAACGGCAGCACAGUAAGAGCUUGCUCUUACGGGUGGCGAGUGGCGGACGGGUGAGGUAUACAUCGGAAUCUACUUUUUCGUGGGGGAUAACGUAGGGACACUUACGCUAAUACCGUAUACGACCUACGGGUGAAAGCAGGGGAUCUUCGGACCUUGCGCGAUUGAAUGAGCCGAUGUCGGAUUAGCUAGUUGGCGGGGUAAAGGCCCACCAAGGCGACGAUCCGUAGCUGGUCUGAGAGGAUGAUCAGCCACACUGGAACUGAGACACGGUCCAGACUCCUACGGGAGGCAGCAGUGGGGAAUAUUGGACAAUGGGCGCAAGCCUGAUCCAGCCAUACCGCGUGUGUGAAGAAGGCCUUCGGGUUGUAAAGCCCUUUUGUUGGGAAAGAAAAGCAGCAGGUUAAUACCCCGCUGUUCUGACGGUACCCAAAGAAUAAGCACCGGCUAACUUCGUG